rfam:Flavobacterium fontis strain DSM 25660 genome assembly, contig: Ga0131152_116
CAACCUCUGACGAGAAUCGUGAAUGUUG